rnacentral:rRNA from 1 species
UACGUAGGGUGCAAGCGUUAAUCGGAAUUACUGGGCGUAAAGCGUGCGCAGGCGGUUGUGCAAGACAGAUGUGAAAUCCCCGGGCUCAACCUGGGAACUGCAUUUGUGACUGCACGGCUAGAGUGUGUCAGAGGGGGGUAGAAUUCCACGUGUAGCAGUGAAAUGCGUAGAUAUGUGGAGGAAUACCGAUGGCGAAGGCAGCCCCCUGGGAUGACACUGACGCUCAUGCACGAAAGCGUGGGGAUCAAACAGG